UGGGCAACCUGCCCCCGACCCUGGGAUAACCCCGGGAAAACCGGAGCUAAUACCGGAUACUCUCCUCUGACCACCUGGUCGGAUGAGGAAAGGUCCGCCGGUCGGGGAUGGGCCCGCGGCCCUAUCAGCUCGUUGGUGGGGUAACGGCCUACCAAGGCGACGACGGGUAGCUGGUCUGAGAGGACGACCAGCCACACUGGAACUGAGAUACGGUCCAGACUCCUACGGGAGGCA
rnacentral:rRNA from 1 species